UGUACAAGGUUUCCGUAGGUGAACCUGCGGAAGGAUCAUUA
rnacentral:rRNA from 1 species